UAUCGUAUUGGCGCAUCUGGUGCCCCGCAGGCUCGACGGCCGGCGGGGUUAAACGGGAAACAGGGAAGUGCCUCUCCAUCGCAGCCGCAACGCGCGCGAAACGCGAAGGCGCCAAGCCUGUGCUGUCCCCGCAACGGUCACACGGCGAGCGGAACGAAGCAUGUUCCGCGCAGUGCGUUCAAGGCCACUGCCUGUCAUCCGCAGGUGGGAAGGCGAACGCGAUGAGCCGUCAGCCCGGAUACCGGCCAGACGCAAGGGGGCGACA
rnacentral:ncRNA from 1 species